AGUGGCGGACGGGUGAGUAACGCGUGGGUAACCUGACCUCAUACAGGGGGAUAACAGUUAGAAAUGACUGCUAACACCGCAUAAUAUAAGACGAAACCGCAUGAUUUUAGCUAAUACAAAUAUUUAUAGGUAUGAAGAUGGGCCCGCGUCUGAUUAGCUAGUUGGUGGGGUAAAGGCCUACCAAGGCGACGAUCAGUAGCCGGCUUGAGAGAGUGACCGGCCACAUUGGGACUGAGACACGGCCCAAACUCCUACGGGAGGCAGCAGUGGGGAAUAUUGGACAAUGGGGGAAACCCUGAUCCAGCGAACCGCCGCGUGAGUGAAGAAGUAUUUCGGUAUGUAAAGCUCUAUCAGCAGGGAAGAUAAUGACAGUACCUGACUAAGAAGCCCCGGCUAACUACGUGCCAGCCGCAGC
rnacentral:rRNA from 1 species